rnacentral:lncRNA from 1 species
CUUCAUCAACAGAUAAUGGAAGGCCACUGAAGGCUUUCUGAACAGGAGUAGAAUCUUUUUAUAUUUUAAAACUAGUAGACUACAGUAAGUGAGGAAGAUGGAGGGAUGAAAGACGACAACUUUUGUUCAUUUGUUUGUUUGUUUUGCCUGGGUGACUAUCUGCAUGAUGGUAUCUGCUAGAGAUAGGGAAGUCAGAAGAAAGGGCCAAAUCACUGGAGAAAGAAAAUGCUUUACUUGGACAGUCUGGAUGGGAAGUUCCAGUGAGUCAUCCUGGUGGCAAUGACUGGCAGAUUGUUGGAAAUGGAGGAGCUAAAGCGAGAGAGGCUAAGAAUAGAGAUAUGGAUUUGGGAGUUAGUGGCAAAUAGAGUUAAACUAUGGGAAUGUAUAUGAUGGCCUGAGAAGAAAUUAUAGGAGAAGUAAGAAGGACUAAGGGCUGAGCCUGGGAGACAGGACAUGGAGGGGAAAGGCAGCUGAGAGGAGCCUUGAAGAAGACUGAAGAGGAAUAAUUGCUACUGAGGAGAAGCAAGGCAGUUCAGUGUGAUGGAUGCCAAAAGAUGGAGAAGUCAAGGAGGUGGCCACCUGCUGGAGAGUGCAUGUCUCCACUGCCUUCCUCAACCUCUGCAUGUGGAGUCUGCACUUGACAAGAUCAAUGGCCCAACACCACGUGGAAGCUGCCAAGGCUUGGGGUUUGCACCAUCUGAAGCCAUGGCCUGAACUCUAUGUUAGCCCCUUUCCACCAUAGCUGGAGCUGCUUGGACACAGAGCACCAAGUCCCUAGGCUGCACACAGUCCAGUCAUUCAGCUACAGCCAGUGUGAGGAGCCUUCGACUUCCCAUUUCUUGUGCCCAAGAGCCCCUUGAAGAGGAACCACUGCUGGAACUGCUCACAUCUGGCAUGCCAGUGUCCCUCCAGGGGUGCUACCUCCCAAAGCUUCCAAAGCUGCCAGGCCUCUAGGCAAAGGUGUUCCUUGUUCUGAAGAGGAGAAACAGUAAAAAAUUUGCCAAGGACCCAAGAUAGAAGACUGUGGGCCCAGAUCCUAAUGUAAAAGAAGCCUGCCUCAACUUAAUUUUCCUGGACAGCAAGAGCUAUGAAAAUGAACUGGGUGAAUAUUGGUGUUUUCAGCUUGAGGUUCCAAUGAAUUAGGACAAUCAGAAGGAAGAGUUUAAUUUUGGGGUCUAGCAUGAGACCAUUCAGUUCAAACUUUCAUUUCACAGUUAGGAAACUAGACCCAGAGAGGCACAGUGCUUCGGCUUGAUGCUAAUAGACUGAUUUUGGAAGGCAGUUGAGCUGGAAGACACAGAUCUGGGGGCUGUCAGCCAAGGGCUGAGAAGGAUGUGAAUUAAGAAGGUGGGAAGGGAAUUGAUGGUUAAGGCCUGAGUCUUGAGAGAAACCCAUGGCCAGGAGCAGAGGAGUUAAGAUUCAUUCAGAAAUGCUCCUACAGACGUGGGAGAACAAGGAUUGUUCAGUAUAAUGGAAGCCAAAGGAGAGGGUUUUGAGGAGCAAAAGACUAGCCAACAGUAGCAAUUGUGUCAAGGUGAUCAAGGAAUAAGAUGUAAACAAUUGUUGGAUUUAUAAUAUGAUUUUAAAAGUGCAGUUUCAGUAAAGUGGUAAGAAUGGGAGGACAAUCAAAUGGCACGUGGUGUGUGUGUGUGUGUGUGGAGGUUGUGGUGUGUGUGGGGGGGGAUGUAUGUGUGGAGAGUGUGGCAUGAGAUGCAUGUGCAUAUGUAUGUUUAGGAUGAGGUGUGUGUGGAGAGUGAGAUGUGUGUGUGUAGGAUAUGAGGUGUGU